UAGGGAAUCUUCGGCAAUGGGGGCAACCCUGACCGAGCAACGCCGCGUGAGUGAAGAAGGUUUUCGGAUCGUAAAGCUCUGUUGUAAGUCAAGAACGGGUGUGAGAGUGGAAAGUUCACACUGUGACGGUAGCUUACCAGAAAGGGACGGCUAACUACGUGCCAGCAGCCGCGGUAAUACGUAGGUCCCGAGCGUUGUCCGGAUUUAUUGGGCGUAAAAGCGAGCGCAGGCGGUUUGAUAAGUCUGAAGUUAAAGGCUGUGGCUCAACCAUAGUUCGCUUUGGAAAACUGUCAAACUUGAGUGCAGAAGG
rnacentral:rRNA from 1 species